UUUGUUGGUGGGAGCACGAUGCGUAGUUGCAAAGAAACUACGUAUUUGUCGUAUUCAACGUGUUCGCAACGAGUGUUGAUUAGAUUUUUUUCACAUUUUACUGAGGGCAACCUUUAGAAAUCUUUUCCAAGUUCAAUUGAGAAGAUCGCGCAUUUCUGAUGAAGUACAAUAAUAUCACAGUCAACGUUUGCGCGAUAUUAUUGCCAAGUUAGAGGAAAAUUCCUAGAAUUGAGUUGAUGAUCGCCAUAAAGAUAUCAUCGUUGGAAUCGUGUUGCGCUUCAGCCAGACUGAAGUAUGUCAAACAUAUGCGAUUAAUAAGAGUAGAAUAAGGUAAUUUCUCAGCCCAUCCAUCUCUUACUUUCGAUACUGAAGCGCAGCGAAUGGACAAAUUCAUGAAUUUUAUUCAUUCUCCGGUGAAAUUUCCCAUUUGCGUAAAACGUGUAAUUUAUUCUCUCUCAAAAGGAUAUUUCCGUCUCGUUUAGCGUAUGAAUCGAUACCGUUAAAACGAAAUAAAAAUGCAAAAAAAAAAAAAAAAAAAAAAAAAAAANNAAAAAAAAAAAAAAAAAAAAAAAAAAAAGAAAAAAAGAAAAAAGAGAAAAGAGAAAUGAAAGGAAUACAACGACGUAACGUGUAACUCAUUAUCGAGCGUAUCUACGCGAUAAAGGGCGGAAAAUUAUAUUAUUACGGAAGAAUACGUGUGAUAACAGUUCCUGUUGAGAAAUUACCGGGAUGGACGUCUGUUGUUUUAACGGAAGCUAAGGGAAAAGAGGAGUUUCCUUCGCUUUGCUCGUUAAUCGCAUCAUCUCUCGGUGCGCAUGGGAAUGACGUGCAUCCUGCGGGAACAAAGCGUUUCAGAUAUUACUUCCAAUUUUUCUUUGCGAGUGUCUAACAUUAAGGUUUUCCUAUAUUUGACAAAAGACAAAAAAAUCUCGAGAUACAAUGAAGCCAAUAUCAGGAUUCAAUAUUAUUAUUUGAUAAUUACGAUAAAUUUGAUCCAAAUUUUUUGCAAUCAAAUAUUUUUGCAAUCAAAUAUUUUUGCAAUUUUUUUACAAGAUAUCCGUUGUAAAUUUUGUAAACAACACAUGGACUUGUAUCCUCAAAAUUUACCUUAAUCGAAAAUACAAAAAUAUUAUAAUAAGGAUAAUCAUGAAAUAAUCAAUCAUGGAGAGCAAACAACGAAAUCAGAAACAAGCAUCAAAAACAUUUCCUCGACAACAACGGAAGAAUCCUGUGAAAUUUGUUUGCGCUGCGAAAGCGUUUAAAUUAUUCCUCGCCCAGCAAUUAAUCCGCCGGAUGAAAGCAUUUCUCUCUUUUCUCGCGUUGAAAAAUACUCAUGGAUCGGAUUACAUCCGUGUAUCUUUGUGGAUGUGACGCGUCCACGAUAAUUCCCUCGCGCGUGGAAAGAAAAAGUGCAACAGUACCCAGUAACAAAACGAUGCGGAUAAUCACGGCAGUGUUGAGAAAUGAUCAGAAGCAUCUGGCAGUGGAAACGUGGAAGUGUAGCGGCUUGGACUUUCUUGUUGAUUUCCUCGAUAUUUACAACGAACCAGAAUAAUACUGUCGGUUGGCUGGCCCGUGGUAUUUGAAUUUCUUAGGUACACAAAUGGCGAACUCUCCGAUUUUAAUGGAAAACAAACCGGUAUUAUUCCGGUGGUAUGGCGGGAUUUCAAUAUUAAAUGCAUGCAAAUAAAUGUAUCUACACGAGCGAUAAAUAGGAUCUACAUUUCGAAAUUUAUAUAACAUUCCCGUUUCGCCCUCGAGAUAAAAUGAAUUUUUAAUGAAUAAAAUUAUUCAAAGAU